GGGGAUUUAGCUCAGUGGUAGAGUGCUUGCCUAGCAAGUGCAUGCCUUUAAUCCCUG
rnacentral:tRNA from 1 species